UGGGGAAUUUUGGACAAUGGGCGCAAGCCUGAUCCAGCCAUGCCGCGUGCGGGAAGAAGGCCUUCGGGUUGUAAACCGCUUUCGUCAGGGAAGAAAUCUUCUGAGUUAAUACCUCGGGAGGAUGACGGUACCUGAAGAAUAAGCACCGGCUAACUACGUGCCAGCAGCCGCGGUAAUACGUAGGGUGCAAGCGUUAAUCGGAAUUACUGGGCGUAAAGCGUGCGCAGGCGGUUUUGUAAGACAGAGGUGAAAUCCCCGGGCUCAACCUGGGAACUGCCUUUGUGACUGCAAGGCUUGAGUGCGGCAGAGGGGGGAUGGAAUUCCGCGUGUAGCAGUGAAAUGCGUAGAUAUGCGGAGGAACACCGAUGGCGAAGGCAAUCCCCUGGGCCUGCACUGACGCUCAUGCACGAAAGCGUGGGGAGCAAACAGGAUUAGAUACCCUGGUAGUCCACGCCCUAAACGAUGUCAACUGGUUGUUGGGAAGGUUCCUUCUCAGUAACGUAGCUAACGCGUGAAGUUGACCGCCUGGGGAGUACGGCCGCAAGGUUGAAACUUAAAGGAAUUGAC
rnacentral:rRNA from 1 species